rnacentral:rRNA from 1 species
UACGAAGGGGGCUAGCGUUGUUCGGAUUUACUGGGCGUAAAGCGCACGUAGGCGGAUCGUUAAGUCGGGGGUGAAAUCCUGGAGCUCAACUCCAGAACUGCCUUCGAUACUGGCGAUCUAGAGUCCGGGAGAGGUGAGUGGAACUGCGAGUGUAGAGGUGAAAUUCGUAGAUAUUCGCAAGAACACCAGUGGCGAAGGCGGCUCGCUGGACCGGAACUGACGCUGAGGCGCGAAAGCGUGGGGAGCAAACAGG